rnacentral:rRNA from 1 species
UUCGCAAUGCCCGAAAGGGUGACGAAGCGACGCCGCGUGAGCGAAGAAGGCCCUAGGGUUGUAAAGCUCUGUCGGGGGUUAUGAAGUGUAGGCUGGCUAAUACCCAGUUUAUUUGACAAAGGCCCCAAAGGAAGCCACGGCUAACUCUGUGCCAGCAGCCGCGGUAAUACAGAGGUGGCAAGCGUUGUUCGGUAUUAUUGGGCGUAAAGAGCACGUAGGUGGUUUUGUAAGUCAGAUGUGAAAGCCUUCUGUUCAAAGGAAGAACGGCAUCUGAAACUGCAGAUCUUGAGUGUAGGAGGGGAGAGUGGAACUUCUGGUGGAGCGGUGAAAUGCGUAGAUACCAGAAGGAACGUCGGCGGCGAAAGCGACUCUCUGGCCUAUUACUGACACUGAGUGUGCGAAAGUUAGGGGAGCAAACGGGAUUAGAUACCCCGGUAGUCCUAACUGUAAACGAUGGGCACUAAGUAGAGGGGUUUU